UACGUAGGGGGCAAGCGUUGUCCGGAAUUAUUGGGCGUAAAGAGCGCGUAGGCGGUCCGAUAAGUCGGCUGUGAAAGUCUAGGGCUCAACCCUGGAAAGCCGGCCGAUACUGUCGGACUAGAGUCCGGAAGAGGCGAGUGGAAUUCCUGGUGUAGCGGUGGAAUGCGCAGAUAUCAGGAGGAACACCAAUAGCGAAGGCAGCUCGCUGGGACGUUACUGACACUGAGGCGCGAAAGCGUGGGGAGCGAACAGG
rnacentral:rRNA from 1 species